rnacentral:rRNA from 1 species
GACAGAGGAGGCAAGCGUUGUUCGGAAUCACUGGGCUUAAAGCGCGUGUAGGCGGUCCGGAAAGUGUCGUGUGAAAUCCCCCGGCUCAACCGGGGAACGGCACGGCAAACUACCGGACUUGAGGUUGGUAGAGGUGCCUGGAACUCUCGGUGGAGCGGUGAAAUGCGUAGAUAUCGAGAGGAACGCCGGAGGCGAAAGCGGGGCACUGGGCCUAUUCUGACGCUGAGACGCGAAAGCGUGGGGAGCAAACAGG